UCCGUAGUUCAGUGGUAGAACUCUAGCUUCCCAAGCUAGCUAUACGGGUUCGAUUCCCGCCGGGU
rnacentral:tRNA from 1 species